rnacentral:misc_RNA from 1 species
GAAUUGCGAUAAGUAAUGUGAAUUGCAUAAUUCUGUGAAUCAUUAAAUGUUUGAACGCACCUUGCGCUCUUCUGUUACGGAAGAGCAUGUGUGUUUGAGGGUGGCGCGUGUGUGUGUGCAGGGGAGGAUAUAUUCGUUCUUCUGCGCACGAGAUGCGGCGUCGCGUGGCGUGCCGUGAAAUGGACUGCUCGGCGUGUGCGUGUGCGUGAGUGAGCAGCAUGGCCAUUGCGUGUGCGUGUGUGUGCAGGGGCAGGGGCUAUGUGUACUGUGGUGCACGGGCGGACUGUGGACUGUGCACUGGCACUGUGAUGCGUGCAAUCUUGCUGGAUGCGGCACGGCGAGCAAAGGCGCGGGGCGUGCACAACAAGUGCAAUAACACCCCACUUUAAGAAACCACCUC